AUUGAACGCUGGCGGCAGGCCUAACACAUGCAAGUCGCACGCGAAAGGGCUUUCGGGCCCGAGUAGAGUGGCGGACGGGUGAGUAACGCGUAGGAAUCUGUCCUGUAGUGGGGGAUAACCCGGGGAAACCCGGGCUAAUACCGCAUACGCCCCACGGGGGAAAGCGGGGGAUCUUUCGGGACCUCGUGCUAGGGGAGGAGCCUGCGUCGGAUUAGCUGGUUGGUAGGGUAAAGGCCUACCAAGGCGACGAUCCGUAGCUGGUCUGAGAGGAUGAUGAGACACACCGGGACUGAGACACGGUACGGUCUCCUACGGGAGGCAGCAGUGGGGAAUAGUGCGCAAUGGGCGAAAGCCUGACUCAGCCAUGCCGCGUGUGUGAAGAAGGCCUUCGGGUUGUAAAGCACUUUCAGUGGGGAGGAAAGGGUGCUGGCUAAUAUCCAGCGCAGUUGACGCUACCCACAGGAGAAGCACCGGCUAAUUCCGUGCCAGCCGCCGCAGUAAGAC
rnacentral:rRNA from 1 species